GAUGAACGCUGGCGGCGUGCCUAAUACAUGCAAGUCGAGCGAACAGAUGAGGAGCUUGCCCCCCUCACGUUAGCGGCGGAAGUGUGCGUAAAACGUGGAUAACCUACCUAUAAGACUGGGACAACCUCGGGAAACAGCAACUAAUACCAGAUAAUAUAUUUAACCCCACGGAUCCACAGUGAAAGACGGAAUUGUUGUCAUAAAUAGACCGCUCCUAGCGGCAUUAGCCAGUUGGUAAGGUAAUGGCUUACCACGUAAACGACCCAUACCCGAGCUAAGAAGGUGAUCAGCGACACGGGAACUGAGACUCGGUCCAGAGUCCGACUGGAGGCAGCAGAAGAGUAACUUCCGCGAUGGGCGAAGACCUGACGGAGCAACGCCGCGUGGGUGAUGAAGGUCUCCGGGUCGUAAGACUCUGUUAUUAGGGAUAAACAAAUGUGAAAGUUGCUAUGCACGACUUGGCGGUACCGAAUCAGUAAGCCACGGCUAACUUCGUG
rnacentral:rRNA from 1 species